UGGGGAAUAUUGGACAAUGGGCGCAAGCCUGAUCCAGCCAUGCCGCGUGUGUGAAGAAGGCCUUCGGGUUGUAAAGCACUUUUGUCCGGAAAGAAAGCGAAUCGGCGAAUACCCGGUUUGGAUGACGGUACCGGAAGAAUAAGCUCCGGCUAACUACGUGCCAGCAGCCGCGGUAAUACGUAGGGAGCAAGCGUUGUUCGGAUUUACUGGGCGUAAAGGGCGCGUAGGCGGCGCGGUAAGUCACUUGUGAAAUCUCUGAGCUUAACUCAGAACUGCCAAGUGAGACUGCUGUGCUAGAGUGCGGAAGAGGCAACCGGAAUUCUUGGUGUAGCGGUGAAAUGCGUAGAUAUCAAGAGGAACACCUGAGGCGAAGGCGGGUUGCUGGGCCGACACUGACGCUGAUGCGCGAAAGCCAGGGGAGCAAACG
rnacentral:rRNA from 1 species